AUUUCAUGAUUUGUUCAUCCAGUGCAAAUGCACACUUGGUACAAAGGGUGACAAGGGGGUGGGGUGUUCCACAAACGUUGUCAUUCUAUCAAUGCCAGUGCCUGCAAACUAGCACAAAACUGAAUUAUAUGGGAUGAUGUGGACAUGGAAUUCAGAUGUGACCUUUUAAUAAUACAACAAAAUGCCCAACUAUGUUCUGGGUCUUUCCUUGAUUUAGGAGAGGACAGAAGAGGAGCGGAUCCAAGCCCACCUUAUGUUUUGCUGGUGGGGAGAAGCUACCUUACCAGCUCACUGGCACAAAUGAGCUAUCUGGGUAAGGAGGAACUGGGUAAACACGGACCUGGCUAUUUUUAGGUCUUGAAGUGAUGUAACAUUCCCACGUGUUGGCUGGAGCAUGUUUCUUAAAUCCUUCCUACAACUGCUCCUCAAAAGGUCCAGGCCACCCAAAGCCCAGCCAGCUCUGCAGCCCUGCAGCCCUGCGGGGAGGGGAGGGGGUGCUGUCAAAUGAGCUCUGGCUAUUAAGUUACUACAGCUUUAAAUACUCCUCUAAACCCAUGGCCCACGCUAGCAGCUCUAAAAUAUCAUAUAAAAUGAGAGGUAAAGAACACCUGAUCGGGCUGACAUCAUGGAAUCACAAAUCGUUGCAGGCUUUCCAGAGUGUUUAAAGGAUAAAAGAAGUGAAAUUCAUUUUUGUUGUGUGUGACGAAAAUAUCAGUGUGCAGCACCCUGAGAAAUGGUCCUUGCCCACAGUGUGAGGGAAGCGACUCGUUUGUGAAUUCUCUGCCCUGACCAAAAUGGGGUGAUCUUCCACAGACCUGAGACUUCACGGAACUCACAAGAACCUGCACUGGUACAUGCCACCCGCAGCAUACCACCAGACUGGUGACUCAGAGUGUCGGGGACGUGCCAGCCGGGCCCGCACCCCUUCCUACCCCGCCAUCGCCUGGACUGUGCCUUCUGCCCAUGCUGCCACAUGUCACUGCCUGGGGACUUAUUUUAUCCCAAGACCGUAGGAAAAGUUGGUGGACUGAUUUCAAUGGCUCAUCAUUUCCCAGGAAAGCAACUGAGGAAAACCGUUGAGGUGAUGAGAAAGGGGUUACCUCCUGGGGGUCCCCCGGUGCCAUCUUUCUGGGGAGCCCCCUCCUUCUUGGUCUCCAACCAGCCAGCUGGGGAGCUCAGUUCUCCCCCCAAGC